rnacentral:rRNA from 1 species
AAAUUGAAGAGUUUGAUCAUGGCUCAGAUUGAACGCUGGCGGCAGGCCUAACACAUGCAAGUCGAACGGUAACAGGAAGAAGCUUGCUUCUUUGCUGACGAGUGGCGGACGGGUGAGUAAUGUCUGGGAAACUGCCUGAUGGAGGGGGAUAACUACUGGAAACGGUAGCUAAUACCGCAUAACGUCGCAAGACCAAAGAGGGGGACCUUCGGGCCUCUUGCCAUCGGAUGUGCCCAGAUGGGAUUAGCUAGUAGGUGGGGUAAC